rnacentral:rRNA from 1 species
GCCGAGCGGUAGAGAUCUUUCGGGAUCUUGAGAGCGGCGUACGGGUGCGGAACACGUGUGCAACCUGCCUUUAUCUGGGGGAUAGCCUUUCGAAAGGAAGAUUAAUACCCCAUAAUAUACUGAAUGGCAUCAUUCGGUAUUGAAAACUCCGGUGGAUAGAGAUGGGCACGCGCAAGAUUAGAUAGUUGGUGAGGUAACGGCUCACCAAGUCUACGAUCUUUAGGGGGCCUGAGAGGGUGAUCCCCCACACUGGUACUGAGACACGGACCAGACUCCUACGGGAGGCAGCAGUGAGGAAUAUUGGACAAUGGGUGAGAGCCUGAUCCAGCCAUCCCGCGUGAAGGACGACGGCCCUAUGGGUUGUAAACUUCUUUUGUAUAGGGAUAAACCUACCCUCGUGAGGGUAGCUGAAGGUACUAUACGAAUAAGCACCGGCUAACUCCGUGCCAGCAGCCGCGGUAAUACGGAGGGUGCAAGCGUUAUCCGGAUUUAUUGGGUUUAAAGGGUCCGUAGGCGGAUCUGUAAGUCAGUGGUGAAAUCUCACAGCUUAACUGUGAAACUGCCAUUGAUACUGCAGGUCUUGAGUGUUGUUGAAGUAGCUGGAAUAAGUAGUGUAGCGGUGAAAUGCAUAGAUAUUACUUAGAACACCAAUUGCGAAGGCAGGUUACUAAGCAACAACUGACGCUGAUGGACGAAAGCGUGGGGAGCGAACAGGAUUAGAUACCCUGGUAGUCCACGCCGUAAACGAUGCUAACUCGUUUUUGGAGCGUAAGCUUCAGAGACUAAGCGAAAGUGAUAAGUUAGCCACCUGGGGAGUACGAACGCAAGUUUGAAACUCAAAGGAAUUGACGGGGGCCCGCACAAGCGGUGGAUUAUGUGGUUUAAUUCGAUGAUACGCGAGGAACCUUACCAAGGCUUAAAUGGGAAAUGACAGGUUUAGAAAUAGACUUUUCUUCGGACAUUUUUCAAGGUGCUGCAUGGUUGUCGUCAGCUCGUGCCGUGAGGUGUUAGGUUAAGUCCUGCAACGAGCGCAACCCCUGUCACUAGUUGCCAUCAUUAAGUUGGGGACUCUAGUGAGACUGCCUACGCAAGUAGAGAGGAAGGUGGGGAUGACGUCAAAUCAUCACGGCCCUUACGCCUUGGGCCACACACGUAAUACAAUGGCCGGUACAGAGGGCAGUUACACUGCGAAGUGAUGCAAAUCUCGAAAGCCGGUCUCAGUUCGGAUUGGAGUCUGCAACUCGACUCUAUGAAGCUGGAAUCGCUAGUAAUCGCGCAUCAGCCAUGGCGCGGUGAAUACGUUCCCGGGCCUUGUACACACCGCCCGUCAAGCCAUGGAAGUCUGGGGUACCUGAAGUCGGUGACCGUAACAGGAGC